rnacentral:rRNA from 1 species
GGAAUAUUGGACAAUGGGCGAAAGCCUGAUCCAGCCAUGCCGCGUGUGUGAAGAAGGUCUUCGGAUUGUAAAGCACUUUAAGUUGGGAGGAAGGGCAGUAAGCGAAUACCUUGCUGUUUUGACGUUACCGACAGAAUAAGCACCGGCUAACUCUGUGCCAGCAGCCGCGGUAAUACAGAGGGUGCAAGCGUUAAUCGGAAUUACUGGGCGUAAAGCGCGCGUAGGUGGUUUGUUAAGUUGGAUGUGAAAGCCCCGGGCUCAACCUGGGAACUGCAUCCAAAACUGGCAAGCUAGAGUACAGUAGAGGGUGGUGGAAUUUCCUGUGUAGCGGUGAAAUGCGUAGAUAUAGGAAGGAACACCAGUGGCGAAGGCGACCACCUGGACUGAUACUGACACUGAGGUGCGAAAGCGUGGGGAGCAAACAGGAUUAGAUACCCCGG